AUUCCGAGGCCACCACCUUGCUUCUUCUCUAUCUAGGAGCUAUCUCUUAAAAUUAGCCUGGUUUUAUUUAUUUUUCUUUUCUUUUAAUAAAUCCAGAAAAUGCUGUUUAUGUUCUCCCAACAACAGAGUCCAUGAUUCGCCUACAGAAGACAAUCUAUUCUGUACUGAUUUGAAUACUUUAGAUCUUACAUUACGGAAGUGCUGGCUGGUAAAAAAUUAGUAGGACAAACGACUAUCUGUGCUUAAAUCUCAGCGUUCAACUGUGGUGAGCAAAAUGGCCAGGACACCCACUGGAUUUGGGCGAGCAGCUACAAAUUUAAGCGUAAACAUGGCUGGUGAUCAGAUUCUUUGGUUAGCGAUGUUUUGUCUGAAGCGGAAAGUAUUGAGGGUGGCCUUGAUCCUCAGGAACUCAUAUUGGCUGGAUUUGUGGAAUAUUUUGUGGAGAACACCAGCAUUCUUCAUAUCAAGGACACAUUUCCUUCCUGAAUGUCUCAACCCCUUUCCUUCAUUGUCUGGCCUGUUCUACUGCACACUUUUAGCUGCUGCAGAUGUAAUGGGAAAAGCUCAACAAAGUACAAGCUUGCAAAAGAAUUGCCUUUAGAGAAAUGUGGCAAACACCUUUUCACACCCGACCUAUGAUCAGCUGUCAAAUGUCCCGGACUGUGAGAAAAGAAUUGGCUUAUCUAAUUAAUGCAAAAGCCCCUGAAGGCCUUAAAAGGAUAGGAUAAAUUUGCAGCCACUGUUCUUAAGACAUUUUCCUCCCCUAUUCCUCUCUGGCGUACACCCCAGAAGCCUUCUGAUUAUGGCUGCCUAAUUUUAUGUUAUUCUGCCUGGCUUGAUAAUACAUUAAACCGAGACCUCUGAUUUUA